rnacentral:rRNA from 1 species
CGGACGGUAUUUACCUUUAAACCUAAACGUAACGAUUACUCGGAAGGGAACGUCCGUCGGCCUACUAGAUAGUACUUAUCUAAGUAAAAGUUAAUUUCUAAUAAACUCAUAUAUUAUUCUUUUCCGUUUUCCCCCAAAUUUAAAUAAUUUUGACCUUUCACCUUUGGAAAUUUGUCUUGACAAAAAGAGACCGAGUCUUAAAAUCCCUAAAAGCCAUCCCAGUUCGGAUUGCAGGCUGCAACCCGCCUGCAUGAAGUUGGAAUCGCUAGUAAUCGCGGAUCAGCAUGCCGCGGUGAAUACGUUCCCGGGCCUUGUACACACCGCCCGUCAC